UACGUAGGGGGCAAGCGUUGUCCGGAUUUAUUGGGCGUAAAGAGCGUGUAGGCGGCCAAGCAGGUCAGCUGUGAAAACUCGAGGCUCAACCUCGAGACGUCGGUUGAAACCGCUUGGCUAGAGUCCGGAAGAGGAGAGUGGAAUUCCCGGUGUAGCGGUGAAAUGCGCAGAUAUCAGGAGGAACACCGGUGGCGAAGGCGGGUCUCUGGGCCGAUAUUGACGCUGAGGAGCGAAAGCGUGGGGAGCAAACAGG
rnacentral:rRNA from 1 species